rnacentral:rRNA from 1 species
UGCGGCUGGCUGGCUGUGCCUAACACAUGCAAGUCGAACGGAUCCUUCGGGAUUAGUGGCGGACGGGUGAGUACACGAACGUGCCCUUUGGUUCGGAACAACUCAGUGUAAACUUGAGCUAAUACCGGAUGUGCCCUUCGGGGGAAAGAUUUAUCGCCAUUGGAGCGGCCCGCGUCUGAUUAGCUAGUUGGUGGGGUAAAGGCCCACCAAGGCGACGAUCAGUAGCUGGUCUGAGAGGAUGAUCAGCCACAUUGGGACUGAGACACGGCCCAAACUCCUACGGGAGGCAGCAGUGGGGAAUCUUGCGCAAUGGGCGAAAGCCUGACGCAGCCAUGCCGCGUGAAUGAUGAAGGUCUUAGGAUUGUAAAAUUCUUUCACCGGGGGACGAUAAUGACGGGUACCCGGAGAAGAAGCCCCGGCUAACUUCGGUGCCAGCAGCCGCGGGAAAUACCGAAGGGGGCUAGCGUUGCCCGGAAUUACUGGGCGUACAGGGAACCGUAAGGGGGACUGGUUAAGGUUAGAAGGUGAAAAGCCCAUGAUCACCUUGGAAUUGCCUU